rnacentral:lncRNA from 1 species
AUAUUUCAGUCCUUUGUAGUAUCAAACCAUUAAAUUUAGUCCCUUCUGGUGGGUUAUGAUCUGUUUUUGAAGACAUUGGGGUAAUGAAGUGAAUGUUGUAGAGAAUAGGUGGUGGUAGAAAGAGAAAGCAGCGUUUGAUCAAAAUCCGCACCCUCUCAUUUAGGAUACCAGCUUUCAAUGGUGAGCGUUCACAAAUUGGAGGGCCUGGCUUUUCAUGUUUUGACCAUGGAUUUUUAGAAUUUCAGGUUGGGGCAUUACCUGCAAGCCCUGUGCUUUCUGAAUUGUUUUUAGAACUUAAAUGAGGAUACAGCUUUCUCAGGAUCUGCUGAUAAAAAAGGAAGUUUAACAUGUCAAUCCCAUGUAAUCGUGACCAGGUCUUGUUUAUAUGAUUUGAGUACAAGGUGGAUUUAU